GUAGGUGGCAAGCGUUGUCCGGAAUUAUUGGGGCGUAAAGCGCGCGCAGGCGGUUCUUUAAGUCUGAUGUGAAAGCCCACGGGCUCAACCGUGGAGGGUCAUUGGAAACUGGAGAACUUGAGUACAGAAGAGGAAAGCGGAAUUCCACGUGUAGCGGUGAAAUGCGUAGUGAUGUGGAGGAACACCAGUGGCGAAGGCGGCUUUCUGGUCUGUAACUGACGCUGAGGCGCGAAAGCGUGGGGAGCAAACAGGAUUAGAUACCCUGGUAGUCCACGCCGUAAACGAUGAGUGCUAAGUGUUAGGGGGUUUCCGCCCCUUAGUGCUGCAGCUAACGCAUUAAGCACUCCGCCUGGGGAGUACGGCCGCAAAGGCUG
rnacentral:rRNA from 1 species